CAUCUUCUCUACCACACACUGAGUGUCCUCCCUUUCAGGCACAGUGUUCAGUGCUCUGAGACUGUGUGAGUAAAAGUGCUUAUUUUACAGAUGAGUAAACGGAGGUUCAGUGAACUUGGAACAUGUACCCAACACCUCACCAACAGUCAAUGGUACAGAUACAAAAGAGACAAGAAAAAGUGCAGCUCACCUUAAAUACCCUGAUUCAUCUGAGCUGGGCAUGAUUCAGCUACUCAAGAUAUUGAAUUUGGGAAAUAUGUGUGUCUUCAGACUUUUUCCUCUCUCUGUAUGGGAGAGGGCUGGCAAGUCGGGCACCAGAGGGAUCAACUCAUGCACAAGGCUGCUGCAGCCUGCAUAAAAGUGUGCAAGUAGACCUGGUUGCAAAGGACAAGAGGGUGUGGGGCAUCAACCCCUCCCAUGACAACUUCCAAAGGAAAAAUAGACUAUAAUUAUCAGAAACCCAAUUGCCCU
rnacentral:lncRNA from 10 species